rnacentral:misc_RNA from 1 species
GAUAAGAACGCAGCGAAAUGCGAUAAGUAAUGUGAAUUGCAGAAUUCAGUGAAUCAUCGAAUCUUUGAACGCACCUUGCGCUCCUUGGUAUUCCGAGGAGCAUGCCUGUUUGAGUGUCAUGAAAUUCUCAACCUUUUCAGCUUUCUUUGUUGAUCAGGCUUGGAUGUGGGAGUAUGCGGGCUUCUCAGAAGUCGGCUCUCCUGAAAUGCAUUAGCGGGACCUUUGUUGCCUGGCUUUGGUGUGAUAAUUAUCUACGCCAUUGUAGUCAAGCAGCUUAAAAUGAGGUUUCAGCUUCUAACCGUCUCCCCUGAGACAACUUUUUGACAAUUUGACCUCAAAUCAGGUAGGACUACCCGCUGAACUUAAGCAUAUCAAUAAGCGGAGGA